rnacentral:rRNA from 1 species
UGGCCUUGACAUACUAAGAACUUUCCAGAGAUGGAUUGGUGCCUUCGGGAACUUAGAUACAGGUGCUGCAUGGCUGUCGUCAGCUCGUGUCGUGAGAUGUUGGGUUAACGUCCGCAACGAGCGCAACCCUUUUCCUUAUUUGCCAGCGGGUAAUGCCGGGAACUUUAAGGAUACUGCCAGUGACAAACUGGAGGAAGGCGGGGACGACGUCAAGUCAUCAUGGCCCUUACGGCCAGGACUACACACGUGCUACAAUGGUCGGUACAAAGGGUUGCUACCUCGCGAGAGGAUGCUAAUCUCAAAAAGCCGAUCGUAGUCCGGAUCGCAGUCUGCAACUCGACUGCGUGAAGUCGGAAUCGCUAGUAAUCGCGGAUCAGAAUGCCGCGGUGAAUACGUUCCCGGGCCUUGUACACACCGCCCGUCACACCAUGGGAGUUUGUUGCACCAGAAGUAGGUAGUCUAACCGCAAGGAGGACGCUUACCACGGUGUGGCCGAUGACUGGGGUGAAGUCGUAACAAGGUAAGCGUAGAUGA